rnacentral:rRNA from 1 species
UGGGGAAUUUUGGACAAUGGGCGAAAGCCUGAUCCAGCAAUGCCGCGUGUGUGAAGAAGGCCUUCGGGUUGUAAAGCACUUUUGUCCGGAAAGAAAUCCUUGGCUCUAAUACAGUCGGGGGAUGACGGUACCGGAAGAAUAAGCACCGGCUAACUACGUGCCAGCAGCCGCGGUAAUACGUAGGGUGCAAGCGUUAAUCGGAAUUACUGGGCGUAAAGCGUGCGCAGGCGGUUUGCUAAGACCGAUGUGAAAUCCCCGGGCUCAACCUGGGAACUGCAUUGGUGACUGGCAGGCUAGAGUAUGGCAGAGGGGGGUAGAAUUCCACGUGUAGCAGUGAAAUGCGUAGAGAUGUGGAGGAAUACCGAUGGCGAAGGCAGCCCCCUGGGCCAAUACUGACGCUCAUGCACGAAAGCGGGGGAGCAAACAGAUUAGAUACCCUGGUAGUCCACGCCUAAACGAUGUCAACUAGUUGUUGGGGAUUCAUUUCCUUAGUAACGUAGNUAACGCGUGAAGUUGACCGCCUGGGGGAGUACGGUCGC